rnacentral:tRNA from 1 species
GCGGGUGUAGCUCAGCGGUAGAGCGCUACCUUGCCAAGGUAGAUGUCGUGGGUUCAACUCCCACCACCCGCU